AGUGGCGGGACGGGUGAGUAACGCGGUAGGUAACCUGCCCCAUACAGGGGGAUAACAGCCGGAAACGGCUGCUAAUACCGCAUGCACAUGCGGGGGCGCAUGCCCCUGGAUGGAAAGCUUUCGCGGUAUGGGAUGGGCCCGCGUCUGAUUAGGCAGUUGGCGGGGUAACGGCCCACCAAACCGACGAUCAGUAGCCGGCCUGAGAGGGUGGACGGCCACAUUGGGACUGAGACACGGCCCAAACUCCUACGGAAGGCAGCAG
rnacentral:rRNA from 1 species